rnacentral:lncRNA from 1 species
CCACAUCCUAGAUCUGCUGAAUCAGAAAACCAAGGAGCGGAAUCCAAGCACUGGCAGUUUGUAAUGGUCCCCAGGUGAUUCCAGUGUACUGGCAAGGUGAGAGACAGCCUGGCUCCAGCUGAUCAUUACAAAUGAGUUCUUGAUCCUAUUCUCAAUUAAUGUAGCCUGGAGAGAAAAGGUACAUAAAAACAAAACAAAACAAAACAAACCAGCCCAUUGAUCUAUUUUCACUAAAUUAUCUAGAGAAGCAUUAUUAAAUAGCUUCCUUAUUCACCUAGAAAUGAAUAUGGGAAUAGCAAUAGAGGAAGAUGGGACUAGAAAAAGAGAGUGUGGCUAAGUCAUGGACGAUCUUAAUACCAGGCCACGAGUUUUAUUCAUUAGGAAAUUCUGUUCAUUAGGAAAUAGGCAACAGGCAACACUGACAGUUUUAAGUUGUGGAGUGAUCAAAAGUCACAGCUGUGGUUAGGGAUCGUUCUGUGUUGGGUAUGAGUCGGAUGGAUGGAAGUGAUGAAGGGAGAGAGGUCAAUUAGGCAAUGAUUAGUUUGAGCACGGGAAGUACGUGAAUGUGAAAUCCCGGAGCAAUAGAACAGACAGAACGUAGUGUGGCAAAGCUUCUCUCCAUAACGUUCCUCUGGCCAAGUGAGAAACAUGAAGAUUAGAAGUGCGGUACAGCCUUCUAAAGAAGCAGGGGGAGUUGGGGCAAAUGCCACUUCAGCCUGGAUUGGAGCUUGGAACAGAACAGUUCUGGGAACACAGUCAGCACUGAUAAAACUCUUACUGAUGAAUUGACCUCUGCCUGUGUGCGUUUAAGCCUUGUGAUCUGGUGAGUAUUCAGUGAAUUCUCUUGUCUUCUUUUCCUCCCUUUGUUAGACAAAAAUUAUACAAAUGUAAACCAGGUGAGUUUUACAGUGUGGUUUGAUGGCGGCAAGUUUGAGAGGGACAAAAUACCACUGUGACCACCUGCCAAAAUUUCCAUUUGCUACCUUGAAAACCAGACCCUGACAUGCAAGGCCUCUUGGACAUCUGGAAUGAAUUCCUUUUGUUAUGUGUAUGUGGGUGUUUUCCAUGCAAGGGAAGUUCCAGAUUUAAGAAAGGAGUGAG